rnacentral:misc_RNA from 1 species
GAUGAAGAACGUAGCGAAAUGCGAUACGUAAUGUGAAUUGCAAAUUCAGUGAAUCAUCGAGUCUUUGAACGCACAUUGCGCCCCCUGGUAUUCCGGGGGGCAUGCAUGUCCGAGCGUCAUUGCUGCCCUCAAGCACGGCUUGUGUGUUGGGCCCCGUCCUCCGAUCCCGGGGGACGGGCCCGAAAGGCAGCGGCGGCACCGCGUCCGGUCCUCGAGCGUAUGGGGCUUUGUCACCCGCUCUGUAGGCCCGGCCGGCGCUUGCCGAUCAACCCAAAUUUUUAUCCAGGUUGACCUCGGAUCAGGUAGGGAUACCCGCUGAACUUAAGCAUAUCAAUAAGCGGAGGA